AUACAAAUAUAUACAUAUAUAUUAAAACUGGAGCGAUACAGAAAAGAUGAGCAUGGCCCUUGCGCAAGGAUGACACGCAAAAUCUCUAAAAAUACUCUUAAAAUUUUU